rnacentral:rRNA from 1 species
CAGUCGCCGCGGUAAUACGGAGGGUGCAAGCGUUAAUCGGAGUUACUGGGCGUAAAGCGUGCGUAGGUGGCGUGUUAAGUCGAAUGUGAAAGCCCCGGGCUCAACCUGGGAAUGGCAUCCGAUACUGGCAGGCUAGAGUUCGAUAGAGGGUAGUGGAAUUCCAGGUGUAGCGGUGAAAUGCGUAGAGAUCUGGAGGAACAUCAGUGGCGAAGACGGCUACCUGGAUCAGAACUGACACUGAGGCACGAAAGCGUGGGGAGCAAACAGGAUUAGAUACCCCGUAGUCCCUGUCUCUUAUACA